rnacentral:tRNA from 1 species
GGUUUACAUAGUGAAAUGGUAAACACAUUUGUCUUGAAAACAAAGGAUUGCAGGUUCGAGUCCUGCUGUAAUUAAUACCUA